rnacentral:rRNA from 1 species
UACGUAGGGAGCAAGCGUUGUCCGGAAUCAUUGGGCGUAAAGAGCGCGUAGGCGGCCCUGUAAGUCCGCUGUGAAAGUCAAGGGCUCAACCCUUGGAUGCCGGUGGAUACUGCAGGGCUAGAGUCCGGAAGAGGCGAGUGGAAUUCCUGGUGUAGCGGUGAAAUGCGCAGAUAUCAGGAGGAACACCGAUGGCGAAGGCAGCUCGCUGGGACGGUACUGACGCUGAGGCGCGAAAGCGUGGGGAGCGAACAGG